UGCCCAGCAACUCCUAUCCCUACCUCCUCGUGGUACCGGCUGAAAACUACGAGCAACCUUAGGGAAGAUCGGAUAACCAACCUACGACCGGCUGACAGGGAAGG
rnacentral:ribozyme from 1 species